AACGAACGCUGGCGGCAGGCCUAACACAUGCAAGUCGAGCGAGGACUUCGGUUCUAGCGGCGGACGGGUGAGUAACGCGUGGGAAUGUGCCCUUCUCUACGGAAUAGCCCUGGGAAACUGGGAGUAAUACCGUAUACGCCCUAUUGGGGAAAGAUUUAUCGGAGAAGGAUCAGCCCGCGUUGGAUUAGGUAGUUGGUGGGGUAAUGGCCUACCAAGCCGACGAUCCAUAGCUGGUUUGAGAGGAUGAUCAGCCACACUGGGACUGAGACACGGCCCAGACUCCUACGGGAGGCAGCAGUGGGGAAUCUUAGACAAUGGGGGCAACCCUGAUCUAGCCAUGCCGCGUGAGUGAUGAAGGCCUUAGGGUUGUAAAGCUCUUUCAGCUGGGAAGAUAAUGACGGUACCAGGAGAAUAAGCUCCGGCUAACUCCGUG
rnacentral:rRNA from 1 species